rnacentral:lncRNA from 1 species
CUUAUUAGCCCAAUAGAUCUUAAACAGAAAAGUCCAAUUAAUUUUCCAGGAUCAUUCCAAUCAGCUCAAGAUCCAGACCAAAUUUCUCAAUCAGAUAUUAGAAAGAUUAAAGAGAUGUUUGAAAAGAUUGAAGAAAUUCAGCAACAAGUUAAACAAAGUACUACGAAGAAAAAGAAAUUACAAAUUAAAAAGAAAAACAAAGGAAAAAAGAAGAUUGAAC